AUUGAACGCUGGCGGCAGGCCUAACACAUGCAAGUCGAGCGGAUGAAGGGAGCUUGCUCCUGGAUUCAGCGGCGGACGGGUGAGUAAUGCCUAGGAAUCUGCCUGGUUGUGGGGGAUAAUGUCCGGAAACGGGCGCUAAUACCGCAUACGUCCUGAGGGAGAAAGUGGGGGAUCUUCGGACCUCACGCUAUCAGAUGAGCCUAGGUCGGAUUAGCUAGUUGGUGGGGUAAAGGCCUACCAAGGCGACGAUCCGUAACUGGUCUGAGAGGAUGAUCAGUCACACUGGAACUGAGACACGGUCCAGACUCCUACGGGAGGCAGCAGUGGGGAAUAUUGGACAAUGGGCGAAGGCCUGAUCCAGCCAUGCCGCGUGUGUGAAGAAGGUCUUCGGAUUGUAAAGCACUUUAAGUUGGGAGGAAGAGCAGUAAGUUAAUACCUUGCUGUUUUGACGUUACCAACAGAAUAAGCACCGGCUAACUUCGUG
rnacentral:rRNA from 1 species